GAUGAACGCUGGCGGCGUGCCUAAUACAUGCAAGUCGAGCGAACGGACGAGAAGCUUGCUUCUCUGAUGUUAGCGGCGGACGGGUGAGUAACACGUGGAUAACCUACCUAUAAGACUGGGAUAACUUCGGGAAACCGGAGCUAAUACCGGAUAAUAUUUUGAACCGCAUGGUUCAAAAGUGAAAGACGGUCUUGCUGUCACUUAUAGAUGGAUCCGCGCUGCAUUAGCUAGUUGGUAAGGUAACGGCUUACCAAGGCAACGUUGCAUAGCCGACCUGAGAGGGUGAUCGGCCACACUGGAACUGAGACACGGUCCAGACUCCUACGGGAGGCAGCAGUAGGGAAUCUUCCGCAAAGGGCGAAAGCCUGACGGAGCAACGCCGCGUGAGUGCUGAAGGUCUUCGGAUCGUAAAACUCUGUUAUUAGGGAAGAACAUAUGUGUAAGUAACUGUGCACAUCUUGACGGUACCUAAUCAGAAAGCCACGGCUAACUACGUG
rnacentral:rRNA from 1 species